CCGCUUCCGGGCCCGGCCCGCCCACGGCGCCCGGAAGCCCGGCCCCGGCGGCCGGAAGCCCCGACACCCGGAAGCCCCGUCCCAAAGGCUAGAAGCCCCGCCCUGACAGCAGGAAGCACCCCGACAGCUGGAAGUCCCGCCCCAACGGCUAGAAGCCCCGCCCAGACAGCGGGAAGCCCCGCCCCUACAAUAGGAAGCCCCGCCCCGGGAGCCGGGAGCCCCGCCCUGACAGCCGGAAGCGGAAGCGGUGCAGGCGGGGCCCGGGGUGGGCGGGUAGAGAGUAGCCAGGGCGUCUGGCGGCGGUUCGCGGGCUCUGUCUCCAGGCGCAGCUGGACAACGGGAAGGCGGCAAGUCGUGCCCUCCUGCGCGGCCGCGGGCUCACCUUGCGGGUCUGGCCCGGGGACCACACCCAGCCCGCAAUUAGCUGUUGUCACAGAGCAGCGUGCAUUUUCUCUUGCGCUCCGCAAAGUCCGUGCGCUUACGUGAGGACCUUGGGUUCCUGGCGGGCAGGAGACGCAGCAGCAGCUUUAUCCAUGAACCAUGCAUGCGUGGAUUAACGGGUGGAAGAAUGCGAACGAGUGCGCAGUGGUGACCCCGCCUCCACGGACCUAACUCCAAGUGCUGCUGCGUGUCUUUGACCUCACCUGCAUCUUCACCUGCCGUUUGCUUGAGGAUGGGAUGGGGCAGGAAGGAUGAGAACCUGCCUGUGCUGGUCCUGUUGCCAAACCGAACUCGGGUUGGCCGGCCCCAGUGCAGUAAAGCCGAUCCGCUGACACUGGUUGUGCAGGAGGGAAGUGCAGCGUUUAUUGCAGGGCGCCAAGCAACGAGUCCAGGCAGCUAAUACGCAAAAGACCCGAACGCCCCAGCAGCUUUUAGGGAAAAGUUUUAAAAGGCAGGGUGUGCCAAACCCUGAACCCAGCAACUCUGCUUCCUGGGUGAAGACUUAACUGCAUCAGCGUUCAGAGACCACAGAGCAGACGGACUCCAGCUCCGAGCUUCUUGGUGAACCCUUGACAGCCCCGAGGCAAGUGACUUACUGCAUCAAAGACAUGACACUAUCAAAACCACGGUGGCUGAGAGUGGUACCAACAUGCCGUGGCUGGAGACAGCGGGGCAACCAACAUUUGUUUGCCGAAGAGAUGCCGCUGUGUGCACCAGCUCAGUUUCACGGCUGGCUUCUCAUGGACAAGGUCUCCCGGAAAACCACCGAGGCACUUACACAGCGUAUUUCUGGGUCCACUCUCUUGCUCAUCUGUUGUACCUGGAAGGAAAAAGCAGAGGGGGUGACACCCUCAUUCAGGACGGCUGCUUCCUUUCAAUGUGGAGUAGAGGACAGAACGUAGAAUGCAGCUGCUUCUGGUCAAAUAACUAAGAUGAGUAAGUGAAGUGAAGGCUGCCUGGAGCAGAAACACGUCAUUCACGUGCUGAGUCCUGAUGGCUCUUCUUAACUCCCUGCUGUGGAAGAUUGAACAGUGCAGCACACCUCCUCCCUGCCUCUCUCUUGCCCUGCAACAUGGAUCCAUGAGGAUCAGGAAGAGAGAGCUUGGAGGUCAGCUUGGAAUAGCCCCCGGCUGUCCAGCAAGCAGACUCCAGGAGCAUGGCCACCAGACUGAGUCAGUGCCCCCCGGGGCAGCCACGGGGCAGGUCUGGUGCCCACUGAGAGUCUGUGCCUUUUUUCCUCAUGGUUGUGAUGACGUCUGGUGCCAUGACGCUGGAAGAGAGAUUUGUAGACGGGAGGCAAUGAAACAAAACACUUUUGGGACAUCUGAAAUACAUCACCAUAAAUGCUGAAAUUCAUAAAUACAGAUUAAAAUCUAGUCCACUGAAAAAUCACUUUGCUGUCAUGCAGGAAAACUCAGAUGAGGAAAUACUGAAAUCUACAAAGGUUUCAAGAAAUAUAUGAGUUGGAAAAACCAUAUUCCAUUCUAAUCUCUUCGGACAGAAGAGAAGUUAUUAAAUAAACUAACAGACUCACUGGAGAUGUUCCUUUAGAAGCCAGUGAUUUCCCCCC